GUGAAGGUGCAGUCGUGGCGGGCGUCGGGGUCCGACAGCGCCUGCUCGCCGAAGUGGCUGCCGUCCGCGAGCACCGCGGUGGUGAUCUCACCUCCGUACUUGCCCUCGGUGGUCUGGCUGACGCGGCCGUGGGCGAUGAGGUGGAUGCGGUCUGCGGGGCCGCCGCGUGCGACGAGGACCUCACCCGCCGCGAAGUCACGUUGCGUACAACGGUCGGCGAGGGCGGUGAGGACGUCCGUGUCCGUGAAGCCGCGCAGCAGGGCCAGCUCGGUGAGUUCUCCGGGGAUCACCCGGACCCGGGCGCCCUCCUGGACGAACUCGAUGCGGCCGUCGCCGAGCGUGUGGCGCAACCGUCGGUUGACCCGGUAGGCGCCGCCUGCGGCCUCGACCCAGGGCAGCAUGCGCAGCAGCCAGCGGGAGGUGAUCUCCUGCAUCUGCGGGACGGACUUGGUGGUGCUGGCGAGGUUGCGGGCAGCCGCGGUACCCAGGGACUGCUGCGGCGUCUCGG
rnacentral:antisense_RNA from 1 species